ACUCCUACGGGAGGCAGCAGUAGGGAAUCUUCCGCAAUGGACGAAAGUCUGACGGAGCAACGCCGCGUGAGCGAAGAAGGCCUUCGGGUCGUAAAGCUCUGUUGUUAGGGAAGAACAAGUACGAGAGUAACUGCUCGUACCUUGACGGUACCUAACCAGAAAGCCACGGCUAACUACGUGCCAGCAGCCGCGGUAAUACGUAGGUGGCAAGCGUUGUCCGGAAUUAUUGGGCGUAAAGCGCGCGCAGGUGGUUCUUUAAGUCUGAUGUGAAAGCCCACGGCUCAACCGUGGAGGGUCAUUGGAAACUGGGGAACUUGAGUGCAGAAGAGGAAAGUGGAAUUCCAAGUGUAGCGGUGAAAUGCGUAGAGAUUUGGAGGAACACCAGUGGCGAAGGCGACUUUCUGGUCUGUAACUGACACUGAGGCGCGAAAGCGUGGGGAGCAAACAGGAUUAGAUACCCUGGUAGUCCACGCCGUAAACGAUGAGUGCU
rnacentral:rRNA from 1 species